CCUGUUCACUGACCAACCCAAACCUCUCUCUCUUUCUCUCAGAGGACCUCACAUGGCUCACGCUGGGAACAUAAAACGUUUUUAGUGUGGGGAUGUUGGACAUUAAUGGGAUUCUCGACGGCUCAAAAAUCCAGAAACGCAGGUGGAGAGUGAUGGAGUAGGACGCCCCCUGCUGGACCAUGAGACUCACCCCCCCAUAAGACAAGGUCAGCUGACCCAGGAACUCCGACACCAGUGCCAUGAUGGAUCCACCUGCAGGACACAACAGAUUUUCUCUGGUUCUGUGUUUUGGACCUCGGACCGGUCUCCACCGUAGCCACUUGAUGUUCCGUUGAUAUUUCCCCGACCUUUAGAUGUUUUCCAGCUUUAG